CAGUCGCCGCGGGAAAACGAAGGGUGCAAGCGUUACUCGGAAUUACUGGGCGUAAAGCGUGCGUAGGUGGUGGUUUAAGUCCGUUGUGAAAGCCCUGGGCUCAACCUGGGAAUUGCAGUGGAUACUGGAUCACUAGAGUGUGGUAGAGGAUAGUGGAAUUUCCGGUGUAGCAGUGAAAUGCGUAGAGAUCGGAAGGAACAUCUGUGGCGAAGGCGACUAUCUGGGCCAACACUGACACUGAGGCACGAAAGCGUGGUGAGCAAACAGGAUUAGAUACCCGCGUAGUCCCUGUCUCUUAUAC
rnacentral:rRNA from 1 species